UGGACUGUGCGGUGGUGUUGUGCCCCACAUGUCACUGAGUGAGGGAGACACAUCCAGCGAGAGGGUCAAGAGGUCAAGACUAGUUCAGCUCAGUAUGUCAGCUGCAUGGAUGAAAAGGAGGUGCAGAUAUGCAGGGCCUACAGAAGAGACUGAUGUUUGAAGAAGCGUGUUAAUGGUUGCUUUGCACCUGCAAAGUGUCUUUCACUCGUCCACCCACAAAGCCGUCGCGUUUGAGCCCAUCAAAGGUGGUCUCUCCCUCGCUGAUUUUCAGAGGUCAGGGGCGUGAUGUCCAUCCACAACUCCUGGUUUCACAAAAGCACAUGCAAGAAUUGCGUUUGGACAAUCAGCUCCGGACCUCCAUCCUUUCUUGGUCAUUGGGGUCACCACCCGGGGGCAGGCCCGUCCAAAGCGAGCCAGCGAUGUGACCUUGUACAAAAGAAGAAGUGAGUCCCCCAACGGUCACACGGAUCAAAGAAGACAAAAGCCUGAGAUGAUAACUCAGCACAGCAGUGGAGCACAUUAUUAUCAGACACAUGAGCAGAAGCAGGAGUAAAUUUCACAGAGUUCGAUGCAGGCGGGUGGACGUGGGAGGGCCUGAAAACGAAAAAAGUAAAGCUCUGACCUGCUCUAAUCUGAUUUGCCGUACGCAACAUUUUCUCUUUAUCUGAUUCGCUCCGUGAGGCGUUUUCUCUUUCUGUGGGACCCCGUCUUUAUCCAAAUGAUGUGGUCUUUGGUGAGGCCUGGUCUAUUCAUGGGAACCCCAUGUGCAGUGUGCCCACCAUUGAGGUGCAGAGUAGCAUGGCCACAAAGGAUGGCAGCGCUUCAGAAAGUCCUCUCCUUACAGUUGAAGUCUCUGUUCAGGAUAAAGUUUGUGGUUAAACCACAAAACCAGAAAAUCCAACAAAUGUAGUAAAAUUACAAAAAAGUGAAAAAAAGGUGUUAAAUGUGGUUUAAACUGCUGAAAUAAAGAGGAAGAGAGUGUUAUGUUGUGAUUUUAAACAUAAAAACAUUUGAUGUUGGUCUUCUUUGUAAAGUAAAUGAUUUCUGUCAUGAAUUAACAUCAGACCGAAUGGUUCAAAC